GGGCCCGCACAAGCGGUGGAGCAUGUGGUUUAAUUCGAUGAUACGCGAGGAACCUUACCAGGGCUUAAAUGUGGUUUGACAGCUUUAGAGAUAGAGUUUUCUUCGGACAUUUUUCAAGGUGCUGCAUGGUUGUCGUCAGCUCGUGCCGUGAGGUGUCAGGUUAAGUCCUAUAACGAGCGCAACCCCUACCGUUAGUUGCCAGCGUGUAAUGACGGGGACUCUAACGGAACUGCCGGUGCAAACCGUGAGGAAGGUGGGGACGACGUCAAAUCAUCACGGCCCUUACGUCCUGGCCACACACGUGCUACAAUGGUAGGUACAGAGGGAAGCCACCCCGCGAGGGGGAGCCAA
rnacentral:rRNA from 1 species